AGAAUCUGCCCUCAGGAGGGGGAUAACGGUUGGAAACGACCGCUAAUACCCCAUAUGCCGCGAGGUGAAAUGAAUUUCGCCUGAGGAUGAGCUCGCGUCUGAUUAGUUAGUUGGUGGGGUAAAGGCCUACCAAGACAUCGAUCAGUAGCUGGUCUGAGAGGAUGAUCAGCCACACUGGGACUGAGACACGGCCCAGACUCCUACGGGAGGCAGCAGUGGGGAAUUUUCCGCAAUGGGCGAAAGCCUGACGGAGCAACGCCGCGUGAGGGAUGAAGGCCUCUGGGCUGUAAACCUCUUUUAUCAAGGAAGAAGAUCUGACGGUACUUGAUGAAUAAGCCACGGCUAAUUCCGUGCCAGCAGCCGCGGUAAUACGGGAGUGGCAAGCGUUAUCCGGAAUUAUUGGGCGUAAAGCGUCCGCAGGCGGUCUGUCAAGUCUGCUGUUAAAGCGUGGAGCUUAACUCCAUUUCGGCAGUGGAAACUGACAGACUAGAGUGUGGUAGGGGCAGAGGGAAUUCCCGGUGUAGCGGUGAAAUGCGUAGAUAUCGGGAAGAACACCAGUGGCGAAGGCGCUCUGCUGGGCCAUAACUGACGCUCAUGGACGAAAGCCAGGGGAGCGAAAGGGAUUAGAUACCCCUGUAGUCCUGGCCGUAAACGAUGAACACUAGGUGUCGGGGGAAUCGACCCCCUCGGUGUCGUAGCCAACGCGUUAAGUGUUCCGCCUGGGGAGUACGCACGCAAGUGUGAAACUCAAAGGAAUUGACGGGGGCCCGCACAAGCGGUGGAGUAUGUGGUUUAAUUCGAUGCAACGCGAAGAACCUUACCAGGGUUUGACAUCCUGCGAAUCUCUUGGAAACGAGAGAGUGCCUUCGGGAACGCAGUGACAGGUGGUGCAUGGCUGUCGUCAGCUCGUGUCGUGAGAUGUUGGGUUAAGUCCCGCAACGAGCGCAACCCACGUCGUUAGUUGCCAGCAUUUAGUUGGGCACUCUAGCGAGACCGCCGGUGAUAAACCGGAGGAAGGUGUGGAUGACGUCAAGUCAUCAUGCCCCUUACAUCCUGGGCUACACACGUACUACAAUGCUACGGACAAAGGGCAGCAAACUCGCGAGAGCUAGCAAAUCCCAUAAACCGUGGCUCAGUUCAGAUCGUAGGCUGCAACUCGCCUACGUGAAGGAGGAAUCGCUAGUAAUCGCAGGUCAGCAUACUGCGGUGAAUACGUUCCCGGGCCUUGUACACACCGCCCGUCACACCAUGGAAGUUGGCCACGCCCGAAGCCGUUACUCCAACCCUUGUGGAGGAGGACGUCGAAGGUGGGGCUGAUGACUGGGGUGAAGUCGUAACAAGGUAGCCGUACCGGAAGG
rnacentral:rRNA from 1 species